GGCUUCCCAUUAGGUUGCCAGUGACUUUCCUUUGCCUCUCUCUCUCUAAAAAGCCCUUUUGCUCCCGCUCUCUGUAACUUUCCUCUGCCUGUCUUCCUCAAAAAUACUUCUUUGAAAAAACCCAUUUGCUCCGCUCUUUGUGAAACUCUCUACCUCACGAGAGUGUUUUCCUCUGCCUCUCUCUCUAAACGCUUCACAGCAGCGCUGCGCUUUGAAAAUUUCCAAAACCCUUUUGUCCCCCGUACUUGACCUGCACAUUUGCACCUAGAAAGUCGGGGCUGCAUUUUAUAUCUCCUCAGGGGGAAUAAGAGACUUUCUCUCUCUACGAAAUCGAUGAGGCAGCUGCUAAAGGGCAGCUUGUUUAAGGAGUUGACAGAGCCUGGUUUUGGGCACAAUCGACGUAUCUCUUCUUCAUCAACCAAACCCAUUAGGGAUGCUCUCUUUCCAGGAGAUGGAAUUGGGUUUUCUCUGCUGCCCAAGUGCCCUAAGUGGGAAGAGCACUAUGUAGGGGACAAAGUUGAUCCUUGGACAGGGAGUUUCCUGACAUGGGAAAGUUUGGAAUCAGUCAGAAGAAACGAUGUUGGCUUGAAGGUCCCAUGGCUACACCAAUUGGGAAGGGCCAUAGGUCAUUGAGCCUUACUCUGCGUAAGGAGCUUGGUUUGUAUGAUAAUGUCAGACCUUGCUACAGCCUUCUUGGCUACAAAACUCGAUAUGACGAUGUCAACCUUGUGACUAUUCGUGAAAACACCAAAGGAGAGUAUAGUGGCCUGGAACAUCAAUGUUGUCGUGAGGUUGCAAAGAAGUACCCUAAAAUUGCCUAUGAGGAGGUCAUAAUUGAUAACUGAUGUAUGAUGGUAUUCUCUAAGGGGAAUACGUAAACAUUUUGUUCUUUCUCAUAGCAUUUGUACUCCCUUUUUUUGACAAUGUAUACAAUGAGCACAUGAGGUUUCCUGCAGUUGUUUCUUUAUCAAAAGUUCCCUCACGGUGGGGUUCUCCCCAACAUAAAUCAUGUCCCUCUUCCGAAGAUGUCUCACAAGCCUGAAAUCCAAGAGCCCAAGAUACCAGAGUCCCCCGCAAACUGCUUGAUUCUUCACCUUCUUGGAAUGUAAAAAUGUGAAUCGAGUGUAAAAAUGUGAAUUGUAUAGAACAAAAUGUGUAAAAAUGUGAAUUGGUAAUGUGAAACAUUAUUUCAUUAAUUAUUGGAGAAUUUGUAUUUAA